rnacentral:rRNA from 1 species
GACGAACGCUGGCGGCGUGCCUAAUACAUGCAAGUAGAACGCACAGUUUAUACCGUAGCUUGCUACACCAUAAACUGUGAGUUGCGAACGGGUGAGUAACGCGUAGGUAACCUGCCUGGUAGCGGGGGAUAACUAUUGGAAACGAUAGCUAAUACCGCAUAAUAUUAAUUAUUGCAUGAUAAUUGAUUGAAAGAUGCAAUUGCAUCACUACCAGAUGGACCUGCGUUGUAUUAGCUAGUAGGUGAGGUAACGGCUCACCUAGGCGACGAUACAUAGCCGACCUGAUAGGGUGAUCGGCCACACUGGGACUGAGAGACGGCCCAGACUCCUACGGGAGGCAGCAGUAGGGAAUCUUCGGCAAUGGACGACAGUCUGACCGAGCAACGCCGCGUGAGUGAAGAAGGUUUUCGGAUCGUAAAGCUCUGUUGUAAGAGAAGAACGGGUGUGAGAGUGGAAAGUUCACACUGUGACGGUAUCUUACCAGAAAGGGACGGCUAACUACGUG